UACAGAGGGUGCAAGCGUUGUUCGGAAUUACUGGGCGUAAAGGGCGUGUAGGCGGUUUAGCAAGUCAGAUGUGAAAGCCCGGGGCUUAACUCCGGAAGUGCAUUUGAAACUGCUAGGCUAGAGUGUGGUAGAGGAUAGUGGAAUUCCCAGUGGAGAGGUGAAAUUCGUAGAUAUUGGGAGGAACACCGGUGGCGAAGGCGGCUAUCUGGGCCAUAACUGACGCUGAGGCGCGAGAGCGUGGGGAGCAAACAGG
rnacentral:rRNA from 1 species